rnacentral:scRNA from 1 species
AUGCAGAUCCUCGUCGCCUACGAUACCGCCGU